rnacentral:rRNA from 1 species
GACGAACGCUGGCGGCGUGCCUAAUACAUGCAAGUAGAACGCUGAAGGAGGAGCUUGCUCUUCUGGAUGAGUUGCGAACGGGUGAGUAACGCGUAGGUAACCUGCCUGGUAGCGGGGGAUAACUAUUGGAAACGAUAGCUAAUACCGCAUAACAGUAGAUGUUGCAUGACAUUUGCUUAAAAGGUGCAAUUGCACCACUACCAGAUGGACCUGCGUUGUAUUAGCUAGUUGGUGGGGUAACGGCUCACCAAGGCGACGAUACAUAGCCGACCGGAGAGGGGAUAGGCCCACCUGGGAACUGGGCACGGGCCCGAACUCCUCGGGGGGGAGCCGGAGGGAAUCCUUGGCAAAGGACGGAAGGCUGAACGGGGAACGCCGGGGGAGUGAAGGAGGGUUUCGGGUCGUGAAACUCCUUUUUAAAGGAAGAACGAGUGUGAGAGUGGAAAGUUCACACUGUGACGGUAUCUUACCAGAAAGGGACGGCUAACUACGUG